GAGUGUAGCUCAGUGGUAGAGCACUUGCUUAACAUGUGGGAAAGCCUGGGUUCAAGCCCCAGGCUCA
rnacentral:tRNA from 1 species